AGUACCUCAUAACUUAACCUGUAAAUGCUCGUCAUCUGGAGUUUCCUUCACAGUCUGAACACCAGUCGAACAGGUCGUUUGUCACACCGUGGAAUACUGACUGUAAGAAAUCCGAGAUGUCUAACAAGGUAAAGGCGAACGGGAAAGACCCAGGGGCGGGUAGUCCAUGAGGUGGUCAGUCAGGGGAGUACACGCGGCCUAGAGAUCAUCGAAAGAAUAAAGCGCAUAUCUCAGUUCACGUGGAAUACUGAUAUGUAUGACCGCGAUUGGGCAUCAUCUUCACCGAAUUUAAAAUUGCAACGAUUGAAGCUUUCCCUAAUGCGACAAUGAACGGAGUGAUGUCCAGAGAAAAGGGUUCGUUUGAAGUGGCGAUGAAUGGCGAGUAUAUCUUCAUGAGGUCAGUAGAAGCUCCCGAUAGGAUGCCAAACGUAGACCAGCUGAUCAACUUGAUCCACGACCAACUCGAUGAGGAGGAAGCAGCAGAAAUGAAAAAGUCGACCAAAGUUUGUAACCUGUUGUAAAAGAUGGUCGCGCGCGUUCACCCACUCACGCCAACAAACUUGGUCGCAGGCCGAAAGUUUCCCCAGACCUUCUUAUUGGCUUGUUGCUAUUGAGAGCCGACGCCAGUAUGCGCUAGAAUUUGGUGCGUUUGGCCGGACGAUACCACGAGAAGUCCCCUAAAUUCUUUUUUUGGAAUUUCCUGAAUUAAAACUGUAUUUAUGAGUUGCAUCCUGGAGAAACAGCACUACGAUUUUCCGAGGUAAUUCCUCGGUUCGAAGUUGGAUUUCCUGGAAAUAUCAUCUCUAUCCUCGAAGGUCAUUGCUAUAACCCGCAGGAAGUGCUAAAAUCUUGCAUCAAAAUCCGGGAUCAAAAUCACAAUCAGCGGGUUAGUGAGAUGACAUCAGGAAUAGGGACGACUGUUCCAGAAAACCCUACCAUGAUCGGAGCAAUUCUCUCGGGAAACGUGCUUUUUCUCCAGAGUUUUGUAGAAGCAUUGACAGUCAAGGGUCUUGCCAUCUAUACGGCCGUUAUGAAGGCUUCCAUCGAAAGGUUGUCCAACCAGAUGGUCGCUGGAUGAAAAGGUUGUAGUAGUGAUGCCUCUGACAUUUUGACACAAACAUAAUCAGAUAUAGAGCUGUGAUUGUUUUCUAACCAACUGUUGAAUCCAUUCAACGAGCGAUAAUUGUAUAACUUACCAGAAAGUUAAGUUUAGAUUGAUAAGACAUUUUUGGUGAUUGAAAUUGAUCAUAAAAACUGAACCGUAUUCGAUCGUAAGAGAAACGCCGAUGAUGGAAAAGCAAUGCAAUAAAGUGCCUUUAGACAAUUGAAAUCGUAUUUCCUAUGGCGUGUUUGUUCUCAGUUCAAAAGCAUAAUAUCGAAAGGCAUUACUUGAUAGCAAUUCAUGAACCCGUCGAGGUCGAGUCUCGACCAGAGAUCGAAAGAUUACUUAAAUGUUAGCC